rnacentral:rRNA from 1 species
GAUGAACGCUGGCGGCGUGCUUAACACAUGCAAGUCGAACGGAAAGGCCCAAGCUUGCUUGGGUCCUCGAGUGGCGAACGGGUGAGUAACACGUGGGUGAUCUGCCCUGCACUUCGGGAUAAGCCUGGGAAACUGGGUCUAAUACCGGAUAGGACGAUGGUUUUGAUGCCAUUGUGGAAAGUUUUUUCGGUGUGGGAUGAGCUCGCGGCCUAUCAGCUUGUUGGUGGGGUAAUGGCCUACCAAGGCGUCGACGGGUAGCCGGCCUGAGAGGGUGUACGGCCACAUUGGGACUGAGAUACGGCCCAGACUCCUACGGGAGGCAGCAAUGGGGAAUAUUGCACAAUGGGCGCAAGCCUGAUGCAGCGACGCCGCGUGGGGGAUGACGGCCUUCGGGUUGUAAACUCCUUUCGCUAGGGACGAAGCGUUUUUGUGACGGUACCUGGAGAAGAAGCACCGGCUAACUACGUG